rnacentral:rRNA from 1 species
UAGGGAAUCUUCCGCAAUGGGCGAAAGCCUGACGGAGCAACGCCGCGUGAGUGAUGAAGGUCUUCGGAUCGUAAAACUCUGUUAUCAGGGAAGAACAAAUGUGUAAGUAACUGUGCACAUCUUGACGGUACCUGAUCAGAAAGCCACGGCUAACUACGUGCCAGCAGCCGCGGAAAUACGUAGGUGGCAAGCGUUAUCCGGAAUUAUUGGGCGUAAAGCGCGCGUAGGCGGUUUUUUAAGUCUGAUGUGAAAGCCCACGGCUCAACCGUGGAGGGUCAUUGGAAACUGGAAAACUUGAGUGCAGAAGAGGAAAGUGGAAUUCCAUGUGUAGCGGUGAAAUGCGCAGAGAUAUGGAGGAACACCAGUGGCGAAGGCGACUUUCUGGUCUGUAACUGACGCUGAUGUGCGAAAGCGUGGGGAUCAAACA